rnacentral:lncRNA from 10 species
UUUAAACUUAGUAUACAUCCAUAGGUAAUGGCUGCAAGUGAGAAUCUACUUUUUGAAACAAGUUGAAAAAAAGCAUUUGUCUACAAAAGAACAUCAGAUACUGCACUUUUUACAAAUUGAAUGUUUGUGGCAAGCCUGCAUCGAGAAAGUCCAUUGAUGCCAUUUUUUUCAAACAGAAAAGUAAAGAUGUUUCUGGAAGGCACCAGGAGUCCUGUCUGCACUGAGCACCAUGAAGUUCACCUGCAUUGAGUUCUUUCCCUUUGUACAACACUUACUCCCAGACCAAAAAAUAACUCCUUCUCUCCAAUCUGUGUUCCAGGCAAACCAAUAGACUCCAGUUGUCUCCCGAAAUGCUUAAAGUGCUUUUCCAAUAUCCACUAUGUUUGGGCAACAUAUUAAAAAUAUACAACAA